GACUCGCACUAGAAGCCGGUCGUGCCGGAUAAAAGGGUUCCAAACGCGCGCCGCUAGGGUUUCUCGAGCUUUAUUGGUUUUUCGCCGCGGUCCCCGAGCUCCAAGCCAGCAGCAAAGAAAAUGCCGUCGCACAAGACCUUCAGGAUCAAGAAGAAGCUGGCGAAGAAGAUGAGGCAGAACCGCCCCAUCCCCCACUGGAUCCGCAUGAGGACCGAUAACACCAUCAGGUACAACGCCAAGCGCAGGCACUGGCGCCGCACGAAGCUAGGGUUUUGAGAAAUGCCCUAGGUGGCUGGCCUUUCUUUCUAUAGUAGUUUUCAUUUUAUAUGUUAUGGCUCUUAAUUAUACUCUGUUUCUAUUCAGUGCGAUGUUUUGGAGUUACGGCUAUUGAUUUCUAUGAUGGUUUAAUUGGUUAUGUUGAUGCCAUGAAUUAAAACCUUAGUUCUAUAUUCGGUACUCUAUCCGUUUUAUUU